rnacentral:misc_RNA from 1 species
UUAAUAUAUUUAAAUUUUUACAGCAUAUGGCCUUAUCAGACUAGUAAUUGUUUCAAAAGUUUAAUAUGGAUGUGUUUGCUUGGGUGCCCGUUAGGACAUCCCAUAACAUUUUGUAAUGAUCCUUCCGCAGGUUCACCUACGGAAA